rnacentral:misc_RNA from 1 species
GACCUGCAGUGGCCAAGACGCCUUGCACUCGUCGGUCCCGUCCAGUCCGACCUCUCCGACAUACCGCGCUUGUGGCAACAGACGGUCGAAAAGGCCCAGCUCACCGAAGCGUUCGCCGGCUAGUUGCGGAUGUAGUCCAAGCGCCGUCUUGAUUCGGGGGUGUUCCGACGCCAACGCUUGGGUUUCGAGCCAAGCCGAGGGCGUGGUGGUAACCGAAAGCACAUACGCCCCGCUCUCACCCACAAGUUGCGCUUGCCUUCUGGGAUCUGGAUAGAGAUCCAAGUGGCAAU